ACACACACACACGCAUCACUUGACCUUUGUUCAAAAACAACAACAAACGUGAAAGUGUGUCACCAGAUGUAAGUGGAUCCACAGACCUGGUCUCCCUUCACCCCGGGAUCUCCGGCGACACCCGGGUCUCCCUGUUCAUGCGUGAAGAGUGACGCGGUCCCUCGGGUCCCUGGAUGAUUCACACACACAGAGAAUGACAUGAAACCUUGUGUCAGUGGAGUCUCUGCCUGCACCAUCAUUUGGGAAACACUGUUCCCGUGAGUAUCACUUUUGUUUGACAUGUUCUCAGUCAUGAAUCAUGUUAGUGUUCUGCAGUUUGAAGUCCAUCUCACCUGGAUGCCCGGAGGACCCGCAGCCCCCACUGGACCCUGUUUUCCUGUUCCUCCCUGGAAAGUGAUUAUAGACACAAUUAACACAGUUUGUCCAUUUAAACAGUGAUCUGCUUACACAGAAAGUAAAUGAACUUACCGUUGCUCCUUUGUUUCCUUGUUUUCCGUCUUCUCCGUCUUUUCCAGGCUCACCCUGUUUGGAAACAUGAGUAUGAGUCAGGAUUUCUUUAGCUGAACACAUAUGAUGUGAUCAAUGUAAUAAUCAUACAGUCUUUCCAGGAAGUCCCACAGGUCCCAUGGCUCCCUCGGCUCCAGUAUCACCCUAAGACCACAAAGAAAAAGAAAACAUGCUGUAGUUAGUUCUAUUCUCUGUGGACGUGCCUCGUUAAAUAAGACAUGAUUCCAAUUACCUUUGUACCAGCGGGUCCUGCGACGCCCGGUUUCCCCGGCAGGCCCUGAAACAAUAACACAGAACAUCAAAGAAGAAGAAGAAGAAGAAGAAGAAGAAGAAGGAAUAAAUAAUAAUAACGUCUCACUGUUGCAACUCAUUUCUCCCCUCGAGUAAAACGUCAAAUCUUCUCUUGUGCUGGCAUUUCAUUAAAGAUGAUUAGCCCCCUUUUUUUUUUAUUCACAGCAGACGGAUGGAUGAGUGGAGCAACAAUAAUAUCCAGUGUAUCAUUAAGAGCCACAGAAUGUCUGUCAUUUAUGUGUAAAAUGACAGAUUUAUUCAGCACAAACACACCAAAGUACCCAGUUUAUAUAACCACUGACGAAGCAUCUGAAAAGUUUCCCUCCUGGACAAAACCUGUUUGAAGGAAAGGCGAGAUAAGGAUAAAAACCGCUCAGCUUUACGUGAGUGUUAUCACAGCCUCUGGUCUUUGAAGCUGCAGAGAAGCUGCAGAGAAGCUGCAGAGAAGCUGCAGAGAAGUAAAACUCUUCCUACACUGAGGUCUGUCGUCACUGCACAACUCCACUCAACUCCUCAUGUUUGCAGUGAACAGUGAAACAGUGAAAUAAUCCACAUGUGGUUUAUUCACAUGUGGUUGACGUUGAUGAUGAAAUAGACUUGAUAUUGACAUUGAAACAGUUAAGUAUAAAUAAUAUAAAGUGACUUACGGGAAUACCCACAAUCCCUCUGACGCCGACGGUUCCGGGCGUUCCAGAUUCUCCCUGUUGAGCACAUUCACAGUGUGUGUGUUAGUGUGACAUUAAAGCGAUAAUGGUAAAUGUAAAGUGAAUGGUAUCGACUGUAUAAUCAGUGAACAUUAAACAUGGGCACAGACAUGAGGCUGAUACGCUGAGGAUUUGUGAUGACUUCUCACUUUGUAAAGGAUGAAGAUACUGUAUAUGUAU